UCUAUUAUAGAAAGGAGAGAUCUUUGGCAAUCCCCUUGAUAAGGACGGACAGAGCUUUUAGCUCAAUCACACAUCACUCGUUGAUGUUGCUACAAUUGCUCUACGGAGCGUCUUGGCACAAUUGCCUACUUUUUUU
rnacentral:ncRNA from 1 species